rfam:Albugo candida, Ac Nc2, WGS project CAIX01000000 data, contig: AcNc2_CONTIG_105_length_74671
GCGCUAUUUGUCUAAUGGUUAUGAUUCAUCCCUCCCACGGAUGAGGUCCGGGUUCGAUUCCCGGACAGCGCA